rnacentral:tRNA from 1 species
GGGCUCGUAGCUCAGUUGGUUAGAGCAGUGGACUCAUAAUCCAUUGGUCGUAGGUUCAAGUCCUACCGGGCCCACCA